rnacentral:rRNA from 1 species
AUUGAACGCAGGCGGAAUGCUUUACACAUGCAAGUCGAACGGCAGCACGGACUUCGGUCUGGUGGCGAGUGGCGAACGGGUGAGUAACAUAUCGGAACGUAUCCAAUAAUGGGGGAUAACUAAUCGAAAGGUUGGCUAAUACCGCAUACGCCCUACGGGGGAAAGCUAGGGACCUUCGGGCCUGGCGUUAAUGGAGCGGCCGAUAUCUGAUUAGCUAGUUGGUGGGGUAAAGGCCCACCAAGGCGACGAUCAGUAGCUGGGCUGAGAGGACGACCAGCCACACUGGAACUGAGAAACGGUCCAGACUCCUACGGGAGGAAGCAGUGGGGAAUUUUGGACAAUGGGCGCAAGCCUGAUCCAGCCAUUCCGCGUGAGUGAAGAAGGCCUUCGGGUUGUAAAGCUCUUUCGCAAGGGAAGAAAACUUACCCUCUAACAUAGGGUGAGGUUGACGGUACCUUGAUAAGAAGCACCGGCUAACUACGUGCCAGCCGCCGCAGUAA